AACGAACGCUGGCGGCAUGCCUAACACAUGCAAGUCGAACGAGACCUUCGGGUCUAGUGGCUCACGGGGGGGUAACGCGGGGGAACCUGCCCUUAGGUUCGGAAUAACUCCCCGGAAGGGGUGCGAAGACCGGAGGAUGUCUUCCGACCAAAGAUUUAUCGCCUUUGGAUGGGCCCGCGUUGGAUUAGCUAGUUGGGAGGGUAAAAGCCUACCAAGGCGACGGUCCAUACCUGGUCUGAGAGGAUGAUCAGCCACACUGGGACUGAGACACGGCCCAGACUCCUACGGGAGGCAGGAGUGGGGAAUAUUGCAAAGUGGGCGAAAGCCUGAUCCAGCAAUGCCGCGUAAGUGAUGAAGGCCUUAGGGUUGUCCUGCUCUCUUACACGGGAUGAUAAUGACAGUACCGGGAGAAUAAGCUCCGGCUAACUACGUG
rnacentral:rRNA from 1 species